ensembl:lncRNA
UUAUACUGUUCCCAAAUUUACUGCAACCAUUACAAGGACAAAUUGUCUGUUGAAGAUGAAUGAAUGCAUGUCCACACAAUGAUGCCACCCAUGAAACAUGUAUGAUCCACUUCACCCUAAACCAUCGUUUAACCCCCAUUUGACAACGUAAUCCGUAUGACUGUCUGCUAUUCAAAUAAAAAAAAAUGUAAGGGCUAUAUUAGUUUGGGCCACCUAACAGCUACAGGGUCCAUGAUUUGAUCCUGAGCUCAGGAGCUCUGUGUGAAGUCUCUGUGUUCCUCUUGUUGUGUAGGUUUCCUCGUGUUAUCUGGUUUCUUCCAACUGUCCAAACACAUGCCAAUAGGUGGAUUGGCUAUGCUGAAUUGUCCCUUGCUGUGAAUGAGUGUGUGAAUGUAUGUGGCAUCCAGUAUGUAUCCGCUCCUCACGCCCAUGUGCAUUCCUGGAACAGAUUCUGGAUCCACUGCAACCCAGAUCAGGAAGAUUAUAUAUAAUGGUUAUUAAAGGAGUUAUAUCAUGGUUUUUAAAUGUUUUUAAAUGUUCAGUUUUUUUGUUUACUGGGUGUAAUAGAAUAGGUUAACAUGCUUUAAUGAAAAAAAUGUGUUAUUUGUCAUAUAAUGUACAUUAUUGUAGUACCUCUACUCCCAGGCUGCCUGAAACGCUCCGAUUUCUCCAAAGCCCCUCCUUCCGAAAAGAGUGCUCUGAUUGACCAGCUGACCAGUUGUGUUGUGAUUGGCAAAAAACCUUAAGUAUGUGUCAGAAAUGUAACGCCCUUGGGUCAGCCUCCAAGGCUUCUAAAGAAAUUCUAAGCUCCUAAGCAACAUGUCGUCGGUUUUAUUGAAUCAGUUUGAGCCCGAGUCCAAUUCAGACAAAGCGGAUGAUCAUCGAAAUUAACUUUGCAAACAUGACUUGAGCAGAAUGUUUCAAAGUGGCAAGUUUUUAUUUUGUAACUCAUUCACCUUUCAGAUACAAUGUAAAUUCCGACGUCCAGCCAUCGGGCAGUCUAUGCUGUGUACACGGCUCCUGUGUGUACAUAGGUACUUGCGCGAUAUAUCUUUGUAUAACUAAGAUUCUUGUGAUUCGACUGAUAUAAACCGUUUUCAAUCACAACAGCAUCUACAAUCAACACCUCUGUCAGACCAUCAACAUACAAACAAACACUUACUGUACAAUACUGAGGCAACUUAGCAAACUUUAACUAGCAUGUUAGCAGAGGUGUACAGCUGAGCCACAAUCCAAAAUGCCACAUUUGAACAGUCAAUAGCAGAUACUUCAUAUUUAAUACUUUUUUCAUGUGUCAUUCCACUUUAUUACACAUAACUUUAUUUAUGGACUUUAAUGUUGUGAAAUCUUUAUAUUUCCAGAUUUCUUGAGUUAAUACUGAUGUCUGGUGAAAAUUUUAUGUGAAUAGCCUCAUUCAAAAUAUAUUUGCUGAAAAAAAUGUUGACGCACACAAUACUUAUUUCCCCCCACUAUAAGUAAGGAUUGUGUGUCCCUGUUUAAUUAAUUUUAAAAAAUGCAGUUAUAGGAAUAUAAUCAAUUUUGGAGUGGUAACAGAGCUCCAUCUCUCAAAAUCACUAAAUUGUGUUUUAUUCCUUCAUUGAUGUGCAAUGCCGGGUGAGACGGAUGCAAAUGCAAUAAAAGCUUUUAUUGACAGAGCAGACAGACAAUGCGAUAACAAAAGGGUGUGGGUCAAACGAGUGAUGAUCUAAUAGUAAUUUUUUAACUAGUAUGGGCAGCAAAUGCAACAAAUAAAUGUGUAAGAGGAAAAAAAUGAAAAAAGGCAACAAGGUACAGGUUCCAAUAUCAGUAAAUUAUUAAAUUAUUAAAAAUACAGGAUGUCCCAAAGGUCUCCAUACAUAGGGGAAAAUAAAACUUGCUAGCAAAAUGACUUCCAAAAUUUUUCAUACUUACCUUUGAAAAUGAAGAACAUUCUUUGAAGAAUGUUCUUCAAAGCCCUGCAUCACAUGUAUCAGUUCAACAAAAAGAGCAAACAUCAGAUAAAACACCGGGGCCAGUUUAUCUUCUAAAUCUGUCACCACAAACCAAAACAUUCUUGCACAUCAUCAUUUACUGUAACAUACAGUACUGCAUAUACAGUAGUCACAGCAGUUUAUAUACAAUUCUGUUGAGUUAAUUUUCCAUAAUUAUACAUAGGACAAUAUAAAAAAAAAAGUUAGUUUCAAGUUAUCAGACUUACCCUGGGUCAUGUCAAAGAGGAAAUAAAAUAAAAUUAAACCCAUUUUCUUCCAGAGUUCCAUGUUAGAUCGAGUCAUUUUCAUACCCAGGAGUGUGUGUGCCUCUGUGUCUGUGUGAAUAUGCAUGAGUGUGAACAAACACUGGUAGUUCCUUUCUACCGCCCCGCUGCAGUUUCAUUACCAAGUCCCACCUCUGGCUUCCUUAACAAUUGUUGGGUUGCCUGGCUGGGUGUAUUGUUUUAAACUUGAGCUAUUUUUAUAUGACAGGGGAUAGGAUAAACAGCAAUUAACUGUGUUACAUAAUCUGGAAGUGAUAAUCUGGGCUGGAAUAUAGAUAAACUUUUGAAAUUUAAAACUAUGAAUGGGUUGUAAUCUGACAGUCCAAAAAAAUUUUUUCUUUUUAAAACUGAACUGAUUACAGUUUAACUUCUGCAUUAUAUUGUAAACAUUGAUGUAUAUAGAUUUCCUAAGUAAAACAUACUGUAGCAGCAUGUGACACUUCCUACAAAGUUUCAUUAAGGUUGAUUUUAACAAAUGAAAGAGAGAGAGAGAGAGAGAGAGAGAGAGAGAGAGAGAGAGAGAGAGAGAGAGAGAGAGAGUCAAUGUGUCUUACUUAUACAUACAUUCCUGCAAGCUGUAAGGUGCAACCUACAUUGAUUGGACUUGUUUGUCCAGCACAUCCCAGAGAUGCUCGAUUGGAUUGGGAUCUGUGGAAUUUGGAGGCUGAAGUCAACACCUCAAACUCUUUGUCAUGUUCCUCAAACCAUUCCUGAACAAUUGUUGCAGUGUAGCAGGGUGCAUUGCCCUGCUUAAAGAGGUCACUGCCAUUAGUGAAUACCGUUGUCAUGAAGAGGUGUAUUUAGUCUGCAACAAGGUAUGUGGUACGUGUAAAACUAACAACCACAUUAAUGCCAGGACCCAAGGUUUCCCAGCAGAACAUUGCACAGAACAUUACACUGCCUCUGCUGGCGUGCCUUCUUCCCAUAAUGCAUUCUGGUGUCAUCUCUUGAGACUUGAGUGCAAAUCUGUUUGUUGCAAUCUUGUGGUUUUUAUGUGGGACCAUCCACAGCAAUCUCAAUGAUCUUUAGGCUUACUAUGUGGGGCCAUCCUCAGCAGCAGCAGAGACAAAAGUAGUUUUACUUGUAACUGAGUAAAUUUAUUUCGGCUACUUUACCCUACUCUGCAGUUUUUUACAAUGACUGCAAUAUGUGUAAGAAGUAUGAGCAAGAACUACAUUAUGCAUGAUGAGUAACACUUAGUGAAAAAUUAGAAUUUGAGCAAUAACUAACACGUGAAGUGCAGGUGGAUUGGGAACAUACAUGGGGAGUUUAGGAUGUGAACACUAAUCUUUUGUUGCAUGUCUAUGUGUUUAAUAUAUUUACUGUCACCUCCUACAGUAUUGGGCAAUUCAACACAUUCUACAGUAUAGACUCCUGAUGUGGAUGUAAUCAAUUCAAUUCAAUUUUAUUUGUAUAGCGCUUUUUACAAUAGACAUUGUCUCAAAGCAGCUUUACAGAAACAUAUAAACACGGUAUACAGAUUUUAAAUGUGCUAAUUUAUCCCAAUUGAGCAAGACGGGGCGACGGUGGCAAGGACAAACUCCCUAAGGUGAUAAGAGGAAGAAUCCUUGAGAGGACCCAGACUCAGAAGGGAACCCAUCCUCAUCUGGGUAGCAACAGAUAGUGUAAAAAAGAUUUAUAUGAAGUCUGUUUGGCCUUAGAAGCAACCGUAGUCCCAGCAAUCUGGAAUUGGAGUAGAUGAGAGCUCCAUCCAGAGGUAGGACAUCUGAAACGGAUCAGGCAGGUCCGGAGAGAAGAAAGGAUCAGGAUCUCUAGUAUCUCCAUAAAAUCGUGUGUGGCUCGACAGAAGGAGAGAGGGAGAGAAGAGAUUGUUAGGACUGUGCUUAGCGUAACAAAGUCUACUCAAGGUAGGCUUGAGUAAACAAAUACGUUUUAAGCCUAGACUUAAACACUGAGACUGUGUCUGAGUCCCAAACAUUAAUUGGAAGGCUGUUCCAUAACUGUGGGGCUCUAUAAGAGAAAGCUCUUCCCCCUGCUGUAGGCUUCGCUCUUCAAGGUACCGGAUCAUAGAAAACAAAAAGGUCGCUUAAAGUCUGUAAAGUCUGUGAGAUUCAGUUGAAGGCUUGAAUUGAACUCAUUUAAUUCAUAUUGGACUAUGUAUUUAUUUAUUCACUUAUUCUGCACUCAUUUAUUAUUCACUAAAGGAUUAUCAGUAAGCAUGAUCAUUUAUACAGUAGAUCAGAUUAUAUUUCUGAGAUCAUAAAAUUCAUCACCUUUAUUAAGUCUUACAAAGAAGAGCUACAGAAGAGAUUGAGUUUAAUUGCAGCUGAGAACUCAUUUCAGUGACUUUGUUUUUAAACUAAAAUAAGGAUUAAAAACUCCUUUAUUUUAGGGUCAUGGAUGACUGCACCAAGGAAGUCAUGAACCAUUGAUGGGAAAAAUGAUACUAUCUCAUCUCACAUGACAUUGGUGUGUACAAAUUUGUUGUGUACAAAUGGUGUGUACCGGUUUAUUACACUUAUGACAUGACGGUAGUAAGAUUAAUAAGAAAUUAUUUGGUGUUAUAAUAAGAUAAUGUGAAUGUGAUCUGAUGAUCUGAAGGUUUGACUGUCUGCCAGAGACUAAAUUCUCAAGACUCUAAACAGUAAAGAAUGUCUCGGGAGACUUAGUAAAUCUUGUCAGGAAGCAAAAAAAAAAGUGUAGAGAAGACAAACAAAGGUGGUGAUCUUAACAUUAUCUAACCAUGCAAGCACCUGUCAGUAGCUCGGUAACAUUAUAUAAUCACUUGCUCAUCCCUUUGAUUCAUCUCACAAGCUUGAGAUAACUGGUUUGGGUACAUUCUUGUGUCAGUGACAUGGUUUACUAACUCAAAGCUUUCAAGUGUGCAGAAGGUGUUGACGUUCCUUUACAACGUCAAUGUCAUUAGAAGUAUGCAGGCCAAGACUGUAUUUGAAAUUCAGAGUUGUGUUACACUCACAGUGAGGAUUUAAGACAGAAACUGAGCACAUCAGUAUUCAGUCCUCAGAUAUAACUCCACGAGAGUUAUGCACACUGUGCAGAGUUGGAAAAAACAGAGCCUGUGGAUUAACCACAAUAUUACUAUUUAGCGAGUAAAACUGCAAUUUCCUCAUAUCUAACAUUAUUAGGCUAUACAGCUGAACAUAUUUUUGUUACAAUUCAUUGUGAAAGUCAUUGGAUAUUUUAAAGAGAAAUCUUAAUAUAAAAUGAAACCUUUCCAUAAGCAAUAAGCACUGUCAUGUCACUGUCACUGUCAUGUCUUCAGAAAGCCAGGUCUAUCUAUCUAGCAGUUGUAACAUAAUGUAAAAUGAAGCUAAUGGCCAGCAUUGAUUGUGACUAGUUAGUUAGCUAGCUGUGACAGACAGUAGACCUACACUUGAUUAGCCAAGAACAGAGAGUGAGAAUACAAAAACAGGGCAGACAGACAAAACAAAAUCCAAUAUUAUGUUAGUGAUUUUGCAGUAUUGUGCUGCCAUGAUUUGAUCUUUUAGUUUAACUGUAGAUUGUAGUUACAUGUAGCAUAAUGCACCUCAAACUUUUCUUCUGAGAUACACACCCCAUGCUAAAACUGGGUAAAACUAGUCCGUACAGGACUUUAUGAAGUUUAUAUAUAACACUUUAUAAUACAGAUCCGUCAUUAAUGAUUAACUACACAGGAAGAAAUGGAUGAUGCAAUAUUAAACGUUCUAGUAACUAAUAUUAACUAACUAGAGACUUUGAUUAACAAAUUAGUAAGCAAUAAUACACAGAUGAAUGCGGUAGUUCACUGUUAGCUAUUCAAUAAGUACUAUUCCUUUCAUGCCUCAUGGAGAACUACUAAGAAACUACAUACAGUUUCAUAAUUUAUGCGAAACUGCUACAAUUAACGAAUAGACAAGAUUGUUUACAUAAUCAAUAGGUAAUAGCAGACUUAUGACUUGGGUAAGCUGUUUGUGAGGGACUAGGGCAGUGAAGGCACAAGUGACACAGAUCUGUUCUUUUAGAAUAAUGUAUUAUAUAUUAUAUUCAGUUACAUCUCUAGGGAAUGCAUAAGUAGCUUUGCAUAAAAUCAUUUUAUAAAAAAUUGUUAAAUGACUCUGCACACUUUUUCUCUAUGAAGGACAGCUCUACUGUUAAACACUUUUUUGAUUCAUUUUUUAUAUCUAUAUAGUCACCUAAGUGAUCCCAUAACCACACUUUUUUCUUUGUGUCAGUCUCCAUCAUGGUAAAUGUACCACAGCUCAAUUAGCUUCCCUAUGCAUUCAUCUGCUUAGGAAUACUCCUGCUCAUGACUGUGGUGCUGAUCUCUUCUCUGAGCAAAUGCAGAUGUGCGUGUGAGUGAAAUUAAGCCAUUCUGUCAUUUCCUGCUAUACUGAUGAUGCAUUAUUACAGUAAUACUGUAGGUAUGUUUUGUUCUUGAACAGUCAUUAUUUUUUCAAAUGCCUUUUUUUUUUUUUUUUUUAGGACAAACCAAAAUUGCCAGUCACAAAACGGAAGUAAGCAAAUAUACAACUAAUUUUUAUAUUUAGGUUAGCUACAUAUGCUAUAACCUUGCAUUUCUUCUCCAGUAAAACACUGUGCUAUUCACCCUGACUACAAGCAGUCCUGAUAUUUGAACAUGUGAUGCCUGAACGCUUCAGGGCCCACUGAAAAAAGUAGUCUUGAGAAACAAAUAUAGUGGCACAGGAUGAUUUAAAAUUGCUAAUGAUUAUCUACUUUUAUCCUCUCUACAUUUAGAUCAUUAAAAGCUGUUUUUAGAUAGGAAGAAUCAAGACACGCUUGUUUUUCGCCACUGCAUUGCAUUACUGCUGACAAUGCUUCACUUGUAGUUUUCCUUCCAUUAUCACACAUAACUGUUUGCACAUAAUUCUCACUGAUGUGGUAAAUCUUACUUUAGCUCUAAGGCAUCCAGCACAGACGCCUCCAGGAUGUGGUCUGAAGUGUGCAAAUGCUUACUGCAUGAGUGAUAAUUGUAAAACAGCACAAAAAAAUAAAUAUAUAACAAAAUAUGUAGCCUACAACUUAAUACAUAGAUUUUACAAUAGCAUGGUAUUAGAUUAGUUGUUUAGGAAUAUAUUGGAAUAUUUUUUUAACAGACCUGUCCAUACUUAAAUAAACAAAUACUGUUUAUUCUUUAGUUUGUUCUGUAAAAAGCAGGCUAACCAAUUAUUUUGUACAACAUUUCAUGGUAUAUGACGACAAAAAAUUAACACUGAAAAUAAACAGAUGAUGUGCAUAUGAAAGCAUUUUUAUAACGUGGAAUGAUGUAGCAUAAAUCCAGGCCUGCUCUAAAACUUAUAUACUUAAGUAUACUAUACAAAACAAAACUAUACAAAACAGCCUUCCGUUGCCCCUGUCCCAACCUUUUUGAGAUGUGUUGCGGCCAUCAAAUUCAAAAUAACUUUUUUUUUUUUUUUUAAAUGGUACAUUUACUCAGUUUAAACAUUUGAUAUGUUUUCUAUGUUCUAUUGCAUUCUGUUUUUAUUGAGAUUUUACACAGCAUGACAUUUUUUAAAAUUGGGGUUGUAUAAUAAACAUGCUAUAUUAUGAGAUCCUCAGUGAUGUGAAUUAGGAAUCAGAGGAUUUUGAAAAUAUUGACACUCUCUACUGCAGCUCUGUUUAUGGUGAAGCAUGUGUGUGAUCCUGUGUUUUCUGUAGUCCACAAUUAGUUCCUUGGUCUUGUCCACAUUCAAGGAAAUGUUGUUUUCCUUGCACUACAGUUAUCGGGUUCUAACUUCCUCUCUUUAAGCCUCCUCAUUGAUGUUGGAGAUGGAGAUCAGGCCUAUAGCUAUUGUGUUGUUUGCAAAUUUGAGGUGGAGUGUACAUUGAAUAGAGGAGAGGGAGUAACACACAUAUUUGUAUUCCGAAUUCAUCCUGCUGCUUUUGUUACUGGUCACAUCAUUUAUAAAUACAAAGGAACCAAACCCAUUAGCAGUUGUGCACACCCACACCAUAAAAUGAGGUAGAAUGAUUCAGAUCAUGAGCAGCUCCUUCCCUUCACUGAACUCUUCACUUAUUAUCAUCCUGGUAAAUGUUGAUCUUUGUUUCAUUUGUCCAUGGAUGCUGUUUCAGAAUUGUACAGGUUUUUUUUUUUUUUUUUUUUUAUAACAUUUUUUUGCGUACUCAGCUCUUACCUGGUCUUCCUGUUUUUGAGGCCAGCCAACGAUCAAAUCUUGUGGUAAACCCUCUGUAUUUACUCUGGUGAAAGCUUCUCUUGACUGUUGACUUUGACCCAGAUACAUGUAGCUUCUAGAGCAGGGGUGCCCAAUAUGUCGAUCGCAAAAGAAAGUGCGGGUAGAUCGCCAUUCAAAAAAAAAAAAAAUAGAUGUUAGCGUUGAUGUACAGAGAAGCCAGUCUGAGAUCUCGUCUUUUCUCUCACCACAUGUGUGCGAUCAAACGCGCCAACGCUAAAGGCUAGCGAGCGAAAUCGUAGGGAGAGGACAUUUUUCAGUCUUUUAAAGACUUCAUUGACAAAACCCAGCUCCCAGUGUGCAAAUUGAUAUCAGUCACCACGGACGGUGCGCCUGCAAUGGUUGGCAGUGCAAAUGGAUUCAUUGCCUGUGUAAAAUGUAAAUAAAUACAAAUAAAUACAGGAUGCAGUGAUUUGCAAAUCUUGCAAACCCAUAUGUUAUUUACAAUAGAACAUAAAAACAUAUCAAAUGUUUAAAUUGAGUAAAUGUACGAUGUUAAGAAAAAAUAAGGUCAUUUUGAAUUUGAUGGCCGCAACUAUGGUAUCAAUAUUCCGUCAAAAGUAUUGCGGAUCGAAAAAUAAGCGUGAAUCAAACAUUUAAAAGCACAUGCGAAAUUGUAUUGCACAAAAGUGAAACGCACACAAAAUCGUUUUCCUUGGUUAUAUUGCCACGUUUUUUGUGCUCUCUGACAUUUUCUGCUCGUUUUCUUUUUCUGAACGCUUGCGCUGUUUGUCCCUUCGCGCUUGUUUCCACAUCUUCCGCUUGAUUUUCCAAAUGUUGCGGUCCGAGUUUCAUGUAAAUGAGGGUGAGCUUUAGAGUCACCAUUGGUCCUCCUCUAGCCAAUCAAUCGAAGAGGAGAACUGACGCUUAUUUUUGAUCCGUGACCGCAAUACUUUUGACGGAAAAUCAUCCCAUACGCAACAUGUCUCAAAAAAGUUAGAACGCUUUUGACAUGGACAUUUGUGUCCUUUAUGAACCUGAGUGGUAGGUUUAUUUUUUUUUAAAUCUGACACUACAUAAAAUAUAUGAAUGCAUAAAAAAUUAAUGUUGUUAAUUAUUGACAUAUCAAAGACUGUAAUAAUCAGAAAAAUCUUUAUUAUAAAAAAACAAACAUCUGUGGCAUUAUGUAAACAAACCAGCAUUUAAAAGGGUUACAAUUCUGAAAAUGAAUGAAUGCCC